rnacentral:rRNA from 1 species
GUCUUGUAAUUGGAAUGAUGGGAAUUUAAACCUCUUCCAGAGUAUCAAUUGGGAGGGCAGUCUGGUGCCAGCAGCCGCGGUAAUUCCAGCUCCAAUAGCGUAUAUUAAAAUUGUUGCAGUUAAAAAGCUCGUAGUUGAAUUUCUGCUGUAUUGCAUUUUCUCUUUUUAUAUGAGUUUUUGCAUUAUGGCUUAUUUCAGUAUUAAUUUUUUAUUAUUACUGAAUGUUUACUUUGAGAAAAUUAGAGUGCUCAAAGCAGGCUUUUGCCUUGAAUAGUUUAGCAUGGAAUAAUAAAGUAGGACUUUGGUUCUAUUUUGUUGGUUUUAGGUACCAAAGUAAUGGUUAAUAGGAACAGUUGGGGGCAUUCGUAUUUAACUGUCAGAGGUGAAAUUCUUAGAUUUGUUAAAGACGAACUACUGCGAAAGCAUUUGCCAAGGAUGUUUUCAUUAAUCAAGAACGAAAGUUAGGGGAUCGAAGACGAUCAGAUACCGUCGUAGUCCUAACCAUAAACUA